AACGCUAGCUACAGGCUUAACACAUGCAAGUCGAGGGGAAACGAUAUUGGAAGCUUGCUUCCGAUAGGCGUCGACCGGCGCACGGGUGAGUAACGCGUAUCCAACCUGCCCGCCACUUGGGGAUAACCUUGCGAAAGUAAGACUAAUACCCAAUGACGUCUCUAGAAGACAUCUGAAAGAGAUUAAAGAUUUAUCGGUGAUGGAUGGGGAUGCGUCUGAUUAGCUUGUUGGCGGGGUAACGGCCCACCAAGGCGACGAUCAGUAGGGGUUCUGAGAGGAAGGUCCCCCACAUUGGAACUGAGACACGGUCCAAACUCCUACGGGAGGCAGCAGUGAGGAAUAUUGGUCAAUGGACGAGAGUCUGAACCAGCCAAGUAGCGUGCAGGAUGACGGCCCUAUGGGUUGUAAACUGCUUUUAUAAGGGAAUAAAGUGAGUCUCGUGAGACUUUUUGCAUGUACCUUAUGAAUAAGGACCGGCUAAUUCCGUGCCAGCAGCCGCGGUAAUACGGAAGGUCCGGGCGUUAUCCGGAUUUAUUGGGUUUAAAGGGAGCGUAGGCCGGAGAUUAAGCGUGUUGUGAAAUGUAGACGCUCAACGUCUGCACUGCAGCGCGAACUGGUUUCCUUGAGUACGCACAAAGUGGGCGGAAUUCGUGGUGUAGCGGUGAAAUGCUUUGAUAUCACGAAGAACUCCGAUUG
rnacentral:rRNA from 1 species